rnacentral:lncRNA from 1 species
GUCCCACUAAUGCCUCGAUGGAGGAGGAGGCGAAGGGGGGAGGGGGCCGAGCGGAGGUGGAGGAGGCAGAGGGGGGAGGGAGUCGAGCAAAGGAGGAGGUGGAGAGAGGAUGUCCCAAAUGGUGGAGAAGGAGGCAAAGGAGGUCGAGCAAAGGAGGAGGAGGUAGAGGGAGGAUGUCCCGAAUGGUGGAGGAGGAGGAGGCGGAGGGAGAAGAGGGUCGAGUGGAGGAAGAGGAGGCAGAGGGAGGUCCCGAAUGGUAGAGAAGGAGGUAGAGGGG